rnacentral:rRNA from 1 species
UACGUAUGGUCCGAGCGUUGUCCGGAUUCAUUGGGCGUAAAGAGCUCGUAGGCGGUUUCGUAAGUCGGAUGUGAAAACUCAGGGCUCAACCCGGAGACGCCAUCCGAUACUGCGAUGACUGGAGUCUGGUAGGGGAGCACGGAAUUCCUGGUGUAGCGGUGAAAUGCGCAGAUAUCAGGAGGAACACCGGUGGCGAAGGCGGAUCUCUGGGCCUUACCUGACGCUCAGGCGCGAAAGCUAGGGGAGCGAACAGG